rnacentral:rRNA from 1 species
UACGUAGGGCGCAAGCGUUAUCCGGAAUUAUUGGGCGUAAAGAGCUCGUAGGCGGUUUGUCGCGUCUGCCGUGAAAGUCCGGGGCUCAACUCCGGAUCUGCGGUGGGUACGGGCAGACUAGAGUGAUGUAGGGGAGACUGGAAUUCCUGGUGUAGCGGUGAAAUGCGCAGAUAUCAGGAGGAACACCGAUGGCGAAGGCAGGUCUCUGGGCAUUAACUGACGCUGAGGAGCGAAGGCGUGGGGAGCGAACGGG